UCCCUUUGCAAUGGGCAAAGUGAUACCUUGUUGGUGGUAUUUUUAUAUCAUUCAUAGGCAGAGAAAAUGGCAGUCCCUUAUUCAUCCUAGCUUGAUGCCUGGGUUGGUGAUUAAGGCUGUUUUAUGUUUAGGACACAUAA